UACGAAGGGGGCUAGCGUUGCUCGGAAUGACUGGGCGUAAAGGGCGCGUAGGCGGUUCGUUAUGUCUGCUGUGAAAGCCCCGGGCUUAACCUGGGAAUGGCAGUGGAAACUGGCGGGCUUGAGUGUGGCAGAGGGGGGUGGAAUUCCGCGUGUAGCAGUGAAAUGCGUAGAGAUGCGGAGGAACACCGAUGGCGAAGGCAGCCCCCUGGGCUGACACUGACGCUGAGGCACGAAAGCGUGGGGAGCAAACAGG
rnacentral:rRNA from 1 species